CUAUCAUUUCUUUAAAGUUCAUUAGUAUAUGAAGACUUAAAUUUCCCAAAGGAGAAUUAUUUCAUGUCAUUGUUCAUUUCAGUAGGACUUUCCAUUUGAUCCAUUAAGAAUGACGUUAUUGUCUUUGGAUUGUUAAGUAGCAUAUUGUGUCCACUUGUAGUAAGUUCCUCCUUGUCACGGUGACGUUAUUUAAACAGUUUAGUUUUCUUUUACUUUUUCAGAGGAUGAACUAUGUAUAAGAUGUUGACACUAAAACAUUCUAUAAAACACAUGUCAAGUUCUAUUUGAUAAUGAAAACAGGUCAAUUUUGGUUAAUCAUUACACUUCAGUUAAUAAUAACAUGCUGUUUUUGCAGGGGUCCUAAAUGCUCAAUUGUUUUUGAAUUCACAAGUCUUAUAGAGGUGUUCAGUACGAUAUACCAUUUUAUCCUAUUGUUGACUUACAAUCUUUUCAUAAACGAACAUUAAAAUUGAAUUUUAUAAACUGUGAGAUAAAUCUUCAAUCAUAUGCACAUUUUACUAUUUGUUCAAACAUUUUUUACCUGUAAAUCAUUUAUUCUGCAUGCCUCAUUGCAAAUAUUUCUUAUUCUUAUAUUUUUGUUGGCACAGCAAACGUGAUUUAGUAUGUCUUUGCCAUACAAAAAGCACAUUAUAAAAUAAUAUGUGGGCUUACUACAUCUAUUAUGGUUGUGGGUAGAUAUCUAGAUCGAGUUCUGCUAGUUCCUUAUCGAGGGAGGUUCAAUAUUACAUGCAGAAUAAAGAGCCUGUGCAUCGUUAACCUUUUGCUUUCAUUCAUUAGUUUGCAAUAAAAUUACUGUUUGCGUUACUGUCACACUACAUCUUGGGAUAUCAACGAGAAGCUGAACGGUGUAAAUAUCUUAUCUGAAGACUCACACAUGCUAUAUAAUAAUUAUGAUGGUACCGAAGGUUUAGUAUAAGUUAUAUGGAUAAGUAAUUCUUAAUUGUCACAUCUUACAUGUAAUAUAUCGUGUCGCGUCAUGCUAUUUAUGUUAUAGUGUGCUUGUUUAAAUUAAGUUUAUUAAAGACAAUAUUGAGAUGUGUAUAAUAGUUGGUUAUAUUUGUAAAUUUGUGUUCUUAUUUGCAAAUUGUGUACAGUAUGGGUUUUAAUAAAUACAUAUUUAAGAAGUU